rnacentral:tRNA from 1 species
GAGGAUAUAGCUAAAGUGGUAGAGUGUGUGCUCACCGUGCAUGAGGCCCUGGGUUCAAUCCCAGUACCUCCG